AUGAACUGCAGGAGCUCGGCACACGCUCUUUUGGGCGAAUACCACGCCGGUGGGUGGUGCUGCUACCUCCAGGCGCGUGGGGAGGGGUCUCCGGCGGGCAGGGUGCACGGUAGUGAAGAGCCAAAGGUCCCCUGCUCUGCACAGCCUGGUGGGGGGCGUGUAUGUGGUGCGCGCAGAGAGCAUCGGGAAGGACAUCGGAUCUACCUGCUCCUACCACUAUCCGUGGGCUCUUCACAGAGAUGCAUUAACGCGCCUGCCUCCAGGUGCCUGCCACAGGCACAAACCUCUCCUGCCUUGUAACCCCUGCCCGGGAGGUUUGGCUACAGUGAUUAAAAGCUGCAGAUUCGGUGGCCUCUGUCUGGUCUUCUCUGUCUUGCUGGAACGGCUUUCUCCCCUCCCCUCCGCUGGGGCAGCCAGAGACCUGGGAUACUCCGGUUGCUUCUCUCUGCUGCAGGAUUUAAGGUUUACCCAGCUGGUCAUGGGCCUUUACGCAGAGUUGAGUACACAAGCAGCUGUGUAUUCAGCCUUGAAUACCUAGAACAGCCCUCUACAACCACCAGGUAAGCAACCUGCGCAAGCGCUGCCCUUUUGGGCAAUUCCCAAAGAAUUCCGAAAGAAUUAGCUAAGAACGGGCGCUGCCAGGCUGCCGCAAAGGGAGGCUCAGGCCAGAUCACACGCACACUACUAAAGCGAGCAGCCGGCUGGAGAAGUACAGCAGCUAUGCAGCCUCCUGCAGAGAGGAGCCUGCCUCUCCGCCUGCCCCACUCCAAAUGUGGGAGGUGGGGUAAGUCAAAAUGAGGGACACCAGAAAAAUAAUAGACUUCACAUGAAGAAGAACAAUAAUUUGCAGCUGCAAAUCACCUUUCAUCUUCAGAUCACAGAGGCGUCUCAAACACUAAUUAACACAGCCUUGCGGCAUCCAUGCCCCACCGCCAGCGCAGGGUGAUGGUUGUUGUAGCUACUGGCACCCAGCCACGUGUCCUUGCAGGCAGCUGCGAGAGGAGCCGGCUUGCAAGGCUGCUUCUGUUCCACUUCUCACGUCCCCGCUGGAGGUGCCCGGGGGCAGGAGCUGUGGACCCAUGCCAAAGUGCAGGUGUGUGUCCCCAGCAGGUUCAGGAUUGUUGUCUGCUUCUACAGCAGGCGGGGGAAGACGGGCUGGUGGUUUGCACCGAGGAGUGACAACAGGAGCAGAAUCCACCCUGGAUGCAAUCCAUCGCUGCCUUGCUUUUCAGUCAGUACUUUCUGCAUGGCAAUCACAAUUUAGCUGGAAGAAAAAUUGAGUGAGAAAGGUGAGCCCUUUAAGCAGCAAAGAAUCCUAGCAGGGCUGUAAUUAAAGCAGGGAAGGAAGUUUUCCAGUCUCUCAGUGUUUUCAAAAAUGUAUGUAUGUAUGUGUGCAUUCAUUUAUUUAUUUAUACUUACAAAAUAUUUUCAAAAAAGCCAGAGUUCUUAAAUAUUUGCCUUAAUAGUUAUUUAUAUAGAGGGGAGACGUACCUACAGUAGUUUGUUAACUAGAGCGUUUGCCAGGAGCACAGAAAACAGGUUCACAGAGAUGUGUACGUGGGGCUGUCCAUCCUCCUGGGGGAGUUCCUGAAAGCCUGGACAGUCCCCAUGCCAGUCCCCUGCUCCCCACAUUUGAGAAAUCUUUUCUAGUGGAAGUGAAAUGUGCUCUUCUGCAAAGAGUUUAAUUUCUUGAAAAAGAGAGAGAAGAAAUGGCAUUGGCAGGAAAUUUCCCAGUUAGCUGUCGUGCAUCAGACUUUUCUUCCCUCCCCCUGGGCUGCGUAUCUACAACAUGCACCCUGCAGCUCUCCGGUGCCGGAAGGAUGUAACAGGAGGCUCUGGGCUACAAAACUUGUAUAUUUAGAGUUUUCAGCUAGUAAAAUGAAACACAAGUUACUAGGCUCCAUGAGGAAACUGAAAUGUAAGAGCCUGUGAAAUACAGGAGAGGAUAAUCAGAUUGGAUAGUCUCGCUCUGCCUUCAAAAUGUCUAUGAAUGCUUUUGAAAGAGCGUGUGCUGGGUGAACAUUUUGCGUGACUGAAAGUGGAUCUGCAAGGUCCAUAGUGAAAACCAGCCCCUGGCACCAUGUUGCUCUCAGCAUCGCUUUACUGUUGCACCAAGAGCUUUGCUGUACAAAGAAAGCACAACGGAGUCUGUUACUUCCUCCAUUUUAUAAGCAGGUAAAUUAAAGGUUACAAAGACUGUAAUUCGCUUCAGGUCACGGAGCGUAUCAGGGCUGGAGUGAGACCCGAGAGCCCUAGCUGUCAGUCCCUUGCUCCAACUUCUGCAUGAUGUGGGAUUCAUUUCCUUUGUUAUACAUAACCUUGUUUAUAACCUCUGUUUCAUGAUUCAGCUUUUCUGCAGUCAACAACUGAUCACCGUCAAAGCAGGGCAGCAUCAGAUUUCAGGAGGAAGAUGCAAUGGGAGGCUGCAGCUCAGAGAAGUUCCUUGCAAAGGGCAGUUUGACUAAUGAAAUGAGGGGUUUCUCGCCAGAGGACCGCUCUCUUUGGAGAGGAGUUCUCCCUGAGAUCGCUGUGCCAAAUUCUUAGCUGUCUGGAGCGUCUGUUGUGCAAAUCCCCACCCACUGCUGCUGCCCUGCCAGAAACACCAGUGCAUCUCAUCAUUGCGACUCUCGCACUCUGUGCAGGCCCAAAGGUACGGACAAAUUUGGUUUCCCCGGUUCCUUUCCUCCAUCUUGCCUGUAGGUCAGAACAUCAGAACAGCUCACGAACAUCACCACUCUCCUUGCCCUUGACGACCAUAUCGCCAAAGUUUGCUCUCUGGUAUACUAUCUUGCCUGAGAAUAUAAGGCAGUGAUUUUUUACUACUGUUUUACUGGACCGGAUAUGUGUUGAGGCAUAUAAAAAUAAAACUGCCCGUGCUACCA
ensembl:lncRNA